UUUUUUUUUUUUCAAGUGUAACUUCAUCGAUUCUUCACAAUAAUCCUCGGAGGUGGCUAUUAGCUACGUUUUGCAAGCCGAGGAAAUUAAGGCUCAAAGAGAUUAAAAGACUUGCAUAAGAUCCUGGCCAAGGGGUGGAGCUGGAUGGGAACAGGUCUGUCUGACUCUGAGCUGAGCUGCAAUCAGUCCAUCAUGGCAGAAAAGUUGAGGAUGAAAAUUUGGGAGCGGAGAGAAAAAUAUUUCACAGAGAUCCCAGGAAGUCAGAGAAGAGCCAACCAGAUGGACAGAGAGGACAAGAAAGACAGGAUCAUACACAAAUACACCUAUUUAAAAAGCCAAGAGUGUUUAAGCCCAAUGUUACAGCUGUCUACCUUUUGCUCUGUCAACCCUUCUCUCUGUUGGAGAUACAGACCAGACCUGGAAAACAACCAGCCUUCACAACCUCUGACUUCACCCCACCGCAUCUGGCUUCUCCCUCUAAGUCCUAGACUCCCAGCUUUGCUCACAUAUUGGUUCUGGA
rnacentral:lncRNA from 1 species